rfam:Jeotgalibacillus campisalis strain SF-57 contig00022, whole genome shotgun sequence.
UGGUAAUGUCUCCAGUUCCACUAUCAAUGGAGGCACUCGGCUGUACUGUGGGUAACAACCUUAGACAUGUAUUGUCACGGGUACGGUGUGAGGGUGGGUUCAAUGCCCA